UUUCUGUUGUACUUUAUCUUUAUUAAACACUAAUAAGGUGGUUCUUAUAGGGCCUCAUAGGCCUUUUUAGUUUUCCAACCUAUUCAUACUUGGUGCAAACCUAGUAAUUUUUUGCGUGAUAGUAUUGGGAUUUUACUCUGAGGCUAGGCUUCACACUGUAAAAACAGCUUUUUGGAAUUGUAUCAUUUUCAGUCUUUCCAUCGUGUUCCACUGUCCCAGCCACACACACACACACACCAGAUAUGAAGACUACAAGCAACCUCAAAAGGUCUUUUCAUUUGUUCAGCAUUUGGAACUUCUUCCUGACACCAGAAGGGCUCUUCUUAGCUGUCUUUUUCCUGGGUUAUUCCUGGUAAACUAGCUGACCUUUGUUUCAAAGCAUAUGUCUCUAAUAAAGUGCCAGUCUCUCUUAUUUGCUUUUUACCAUCACUUCAUCGUUUUUCAAAGUACCCUUAUGGUUGAAUUUCCCCAAACUCUUCUUUUGGGAAAAGCUUUACACUCUCUGCUGUAUGUUCUGCCCCUUCCUUUGGGCAAAACUUCUGAGCUUUGGCUCUGGUGAUUGCAGCAAAGAGAGCAGCAUUCUCCUCUCAGAGUGACAGCCCUACUUUGAGACUGGGUCACUGGGAUGAGAAGUAGCCUUUGGUAAUCUCAGCUUUGCCACUCCUGGAAUGAGAACUUUGCCUUACAGACAAACCAGAAAGAAGGCAAUCAGGGCUCAGUGUUCUCAGUGUGUUGCACCUAAACAGUCCUCAUUCCAUGAAUUAGAGCUGGUAGGAAGAAGUGACAUCCUACUUCUUGGCCACAUUC
rnacentral:lncRNA from 1 species